AACAAUCGUGUUAGCCUGCUGAGUUAAAGCCUAGAACCAUAACAGUGUUAGCCUGCUGAGUUAAAGCCUAGAACCAUGACAGUGUUAGCCUGCUGAGUUAAAGCCUAGAACCAUAACAGUGUUAGCCUGCUGAGUUAAAGCCUAGAACCAUAACAGUGUUAGCCUGCUGAGUUAAAGCCUAGAACCAUAACAGUGUUAGCCUGCUGAGUUUAAAGCCUAGAACCAUAACAGUGUUAGCCUGCUGAGUUAAAGCCUAUAACCAUGACAGUGUUAGCCUGCUGAGUUAAAGACUAGAACCAUAACAGUGUUAGCCUGCUGAGUUAAAGCCUAGAACCAUGACAGUGUUAGCCUGCUGAGUUAAAGACUAGAACCAUAACAGUGUUAGCCUGCUGAGUUAAAGACUAGAACCAUAACAGUGUUAGCCUGCUGAGUUAAAGCCUAGAACCAUAACAGUGUUAGCCUGCUGAGUUAAAGCCUAGAACCAUAACAGUGUUAGCCUGCUGAUUUAAAGCCUAGAACCAUAACAGUGUUAGCCUGCUGAGUUAAAGCCUAGAACCCUAACAGUGUUAGUAGCCUGCUUAGUUUAAAGACUAGAUGAUCUAGAACCAUUAGCUCAGGGGGGACGCUAAUUCAAGUAUUCGGGUCUUAGGGAAGGUUACUCAUCAUCACAAACUGAUAGAUAGUGUAGCUAGCUCCUCUGAGAAGAUAAGACAUGACAAAAUAAACUUAGUUGAAAUUUAGAGUUGCUGCAUCCAUGUGGAAUAUCACAUAAAACAAUAUCAAAUCACAAUAAGACAAGUGCAAAACUCAGAGAGAAUUACUUAAACUACGCAACCAGCGCAUUGAACUCGUUGAGAACACCGAUUGGCUAAUGGCAAACAUGCUAUCAUGCUCGUAAAAACAAAUUAUAGUGUUCAACAAACGUAAAUAGAUGCUGUUAUCAAGGUCAUUUCCUUAGUAGUGUUAGAGGUCAUGUGGGAACAGGCGGAGCUCAGCGAUGACAGACGGGCUUCCUACUAGUAAACGAGUUGGAGGGGGUUCACGGGGGUUCUUCCUACUAGUAAUAUGAGUUGGAGGGGGUUCUUCCUACUAGUAAUAUGAGUUGGAGGGGGUUCUUCCUACUAGUAAUAUGAGUUGGAGGGGGUUCUUCCUACUAGUAAUACGAGUUGGAGGGGGUUCUUCCUACUAGUAAUAUGAGUUGGAGGGGGUUCUUCCUACUAGUAAUAUGAGUUGGAGGGGGUUCUUCCUACUAGUAAUAUGAGUUGGAGGGGGUUCUUCCUACUAGUAAUAUGAGUUGGAGGGGGUUCUUCCUACUAGUAAUACGAGUUGGAGGGGGUUCUUCCUACUAGUAAUAUGAGUUGGAGGGGGUUCUUCCUACUAGUAAUAUGAGUUGGAGGGGGUUCUUCCUACUAGUAAUAUGAGUUGGAGGGGGUUCUUCCUACUAGUAAUAUGAGUUGGAGGGGGUUCUUCCUACUAGUAAUAUGAGUUGGAGGGGGUUCUUCCUACUAGUAAUAUGAGUUGGAGGGGGUUCUUCCUACUAGUAAUAUGAGUUGGAGGGGGUUCUUCCUACUAGUAAUAUGAGUUGGAGGGGGUUCUUCCUACUAGUAAUAUGAGUUGGAGGGGGUUCUUCCCAGUCAUAUGCUUGUAUUUAUGAGAUGUCAUGAAUCAGCAUCACACAAAAAUAGUGCAAUGGUUCAAAGAAUCUCUGCGGUAAUAUGUUUGUGUGUGUGUUAUGUGUGUGUGUUAUGUGUGUGUGUUAUGUGUGUGUGUUAUGUGUGUGUGUUAUGUGUGUGUGUUAUGUGUGUGUGUUAUGUGUGUGUGUUAUGUGUGUGUGUUAUGUGUGUGUGUGUUAUGUGUGUGUGUGUUAUGUGUGUGUGUUAUGUGUGUGUGUUAUGUGUGUGUGUUAUGUGUGUGUGUGU